rnacentral:rRNA from 1 species
UACAGAGGGUGCGAGCGUUGUCCGGAAUCACUGGGCGUAAAGAGCGCGCAGGCGGUCGUUCAAGUCGAGUGUGAAAGCCCCCGGCUCAACUGGGGAGGGUCACUCGAUACUGAUCGACUUGAAGGCAGGAGAGGGAAGCGGAAUUCCCGGUGUAGUGGUGAAAUGCGUAGAUAUCGGGAGGAACACCAGUGGCGAAGGCGGCUUCC